CAGAGAUAAAUAGCCUCCCGUCGCCUCGGCCUCGCCGUCCACCACUCCACCUGCAGCUCCGCCGCCCCCGGCCUCCCUAGAAGCCUCCCUUCUCAAACCCUAGAUGGCCAACCUCCCUUCGCCACGAUCCUCCUGUUAGCCCCGCUCCAUCCACUGUGGUGAUUCUGCCACCGGUCGUUUUUCUCCGACCCGAGUCUGCUCCUCACAUUGUUCCUUUCCGUCCACGAGCUUGCAAAAGGUUCAGAUUUCCUCUGAUAAAACCUCACGUUCCCCUGUUCGGUCCAUCAAAUGGGUGAUAUAUCCCAAAUAUAAUGUUUUCUCAAGGAUAAAUACCGGUUGUAAUACUACAAUGGAUGUUUUAGUGCACGUACGAGCACUGUUGUAUGCUAGACAUAUCAAUCUUCAUCCAGAAAAUGGUCUCACAAUCAUCGAUAAUUCCUAUGAACACAUUAAUUCAAAUUAACUUUUCGAAGCCAAAUCACCAAACAAAUACAUUAUUGUGCAAGGAACUUUUUAGUUUUGAGCUAUGCUCAGGGACAAGAACUUUAUCUUCUGUGGCUAUUACAUUUCUUUUAUAUUACCCCUAUCGCCUACCUGAACUUGCAGUAAGGUUGAUCGACAGUUUUGUUUGCACUGCCUGGUGUUAGUUUUACUGUACUACCUGAAUGCUUUAACCCAAGAAUGUUGCAGCUACAUCUUUUCUGACAUAACUAAGCUUAUCUACAUUCUAACUGUUGAAAUAUUGGUGACAUGGGGAUUUCUAGAGAUUGACAUACAAAGCAGCUUCCUUCAGAAAACUCAGUCUUCAUAGACCUGUUUCCCAAGAAGGCAAAAUAUCAGGUGAAAACGCCCAACAGGUGAAAACCUGAAAACUUGCAACGGCAGCCGUUGGAUCCGAUUUGUACGGCUCAGAUCGGACGUAGGAAUGCAACCUGCCACUUAAACGCAAUUUUACGGAAAACCCCUUGACAUUUGCGCUAAUGCUGAAACUAGGAGGUCAGGGCCCUAUGAACUGCUCGUCUCCCCCGAUUCGAUUUGGUCAAACUCCCUCGAUUCGAUCCCCACCGGCACCAGCGACCUGGAGACCCAACCCUCGGCGGACGGCGACCAACGGCGGCCCUGCUCCCGUAGCGCGCGACGACGACCUGAAUCCUCGGUGGCGUCCCGCGUCACGCUGGAGGCGGCAACGCUGACAGCACGCGUUGGCGGCGGCGGCGGCGGGCGGGACCACACGUGGUGGUGGCGGUGGCGGCGGCGGGCGGGACCACACAUGGUGGUGGCGGUGGCGGCUACCUACGCGGCUCCUCGGCCUGUCCUGCGUGACAGAAACUCUGCUACCCGGCGACCCGACGCGGCACCACGCCCCUGUUGUUUGCUGAAUCUACUGUCUGCUUGAUGUUAUCUGAAGCCACGAUGUUUGAAGCUGUGUUAUCUGAAGUUUAUGAUGUGCUGAAGCUGUACAGAAUUUUUUUGUGACAUUGUUUGGUAGCUGAAUCAAUUCUCUUAGAUGGUUUUCUGUACACUGAAGCAAUUUGGAUGCAAAGAAUAUUUGCAAGAAGAACUCUUGCAAGAAUGUGAUUGUAAGGGAAUUUUUUUGCUGUACACUGAAUCAUUUUGGAUGUAAAGAUUUAUAAUUGCAGAUUUGUUUAGUGAAAUCAAUGUGACUGUACAAGGAUUACUUGAAUGAGUGUGAACAGGGAAUGUUUGC